rnacentral:tRNA from 3 species
GAGCACGUGGCGAAAUCGGCAGACGCGCUGGCUUCAGGAGUCAGUGAGAGUAAUCUCGUGGAGGUUCAAAUCCUCUCGUGCUCA